ACUGGAAGAACUUGUCCCCAGUGUUGCUACCUUGACUUGAGGCUGCCACCACUCUGCACCUAUAGAAUCAUACAAGAAGAGCUGGAACCUUCUGUGUGUUCUGUGUGGUUCUUUGCAGCAGCUCUUUGUUUAAGUGGGGGGGGGGGAUGGGCGCGGCCACUCUGCACUCCGCCUCUCUGGGUGGCUGGAUCCGAAUCUUCUGCCAGAGUCAUCGCGGCCGGUGGAGGUUGAGUCAGAGGACCGGGGUGGGCGAGGAAGGCUCGGAGUGUCCUGGUGGGCGAGGGCAGGAGGGGGCGGGACUCCCACAAUCGAAUAAAAAAACAAAAAACAAAAAACAAAAAACAAAAAAAGAAAACAAAACAAAAAACAAACAAACAAACAAAAAACCGCAUGGCCCCGAACCGGGACAGCAGCGCUGAGCAGCUCCGGCUGCUGCCACCUCGAGCAUCUGAAUCCUCUUCCGCCGUGGGAGCGAGACGCCGUAGCCGCGUCUGCCCCUAGGCGCCUCCAUCUGGGCGCCACGUCCUCGUGCUUGGGCGUGCUCCUGCGGGGCCGGGUGGAAAUCCGUGCCAACGACCAGGGCAACCGCACCGUGCCACCUACGCGGCCUUCACCGACGUCCUGAGCGCGCUCCACACGGUGUUCGACGCCAAAAGGCUGAUAAGGCUGCACGUUCUCCGAAGCGACUGUGCAGACGGAGAAAAAACGCUGGCUCUUCGGGUGGUGAGCGACGGCGGUAAACCCAAAGUGCAAGUGCUCUAGGGCCGGCGAGGUAGUGGCGUUCAUGGUGCCAGCUACUUCAACGACUCGUAGCUCCAGGAGACCAAAGACGGGGUGGGUGGAGAGUCAUCCUGGGACUCAACGUGCUUAGGAUCAUUAAAGAGCCUACCGCAGCCACCAUCGCCCACGGGCUGGACCAGCCGGGUGCUGGAGAGAACAACGUGCACAGAUGGUUUGGUUCCUUUUCUUCUCAUAAGCGGAAGAAUUUGAGGCGAACACAUUGUGAGAGUACAGUGCUGCGAAGAUUGUGCUAGAAAAGGACAAGUCAAAACUCAAGAAGCAGAGGAGAGGAUUCCUGUGGUGUUUGAGGCCAGCCUAGUCUACCAACAAGUUCUAGGCCAGCCACAAGUAUAGAGUGAGAUCGUGUUUAUAAAUAAAUAAAUAAUGAAUAAAUAAAUAAAUAAAUAAAUAAAA